rnacentral:rRNA from 1 species
UGCAGUCGAACGAUGAAGCCCAGCUUGCUGGGUGGAUUAGUGGCGAACGGGUGAGUAACACGUGGGUGAUCUGCCCUGCACUUCGGGAUAAGCCUGGGAAACUGGGUCUAAUACCGGAUAGGACCUCGGGAUGCAUGUUCCGGGGUGGAAAGGUUUUCCGGUGCAGGAUGGGCCCGCGGCCUAUCAGCUUGUUGGUGGGGUAACGGCCCACCAAGGCGACGACGGGUAGCCGGCCUGAGAGGGCGACCGGCCACACUGGGACUGAGACACGGCCCAGACUCCUACGGGAGGCAGCAGUGGGGAAUAUUGCACAAUGGGCGCAAGCCUGAUGCAGCGACGCCGCGUGAGGGAUGACGGCCUUCGGGUUGUAAACCUCUUUCAGUACCGACGAAGCGCAAGUGACGGUAGGUACAGAAGAAGCACCGGCCAACUACGUGCCAGCAGCCGCGGUAAUACGUAGGGUGCGAGCGUUGUCCGGAAUUACUGGGCGUAAAGAGCUCGUAGGCGGUUUGUCGCGUCGUCUGUGAAAACCCGCAGCUCAACUGCGGGCUUGCAGGCGAUACGGGCAGACUUGAGUACUGCAGGGGAGACUGGAAUUCCUGGUGUAGCGGUGAAAUGCGCAGAUAUCAGGAGGAACACCGGUGGCGAAGGCGGGUCUCUGGGCAGUAACUGACGCUGAGGAGCGAAAGCGUGGGUAGCGAACAGGAUUAGAUACCCUGGUAGUCCACGCCGUAAACGGUGGGCGCUAGGUGUGGGUUUCCUUCCACGGGAUCCGUGCCGUAGCUAACGCAUUAAGCGCCCCGCCUGGGGA